GGAUAGCCCUGAUGGGAGUGGAAAUCCUUUUUAUCCUGAACUUGUUUCUGGAUAAAAAGAUUGUAACAUACAGCAGGAGAUGAG
rnacentral:sRNA from 2 species